rnacentral:tRNA from 1 species
GCCCGCCUAGCUCAAUCGGAUAGAGCGUCAGACUCUUAUCCUGGCAUGGCGAUCUGAAGGCUGCGAGUUCGACCCUCGCGGUGGGCU